GAGAUAUUCAAAUUAAUUUCCACUUAAAAACCUGCUAAAACAAUGCCUUCAUAUUUUAAAGCUUGACUCCAGUGAAAAUCAUUUUCACAGGAAAACAUAAAAUUUCAAAAGCAUUAGGCUUCGAGUGCUCCCCCUGUGAACUGCUAAAACAGUUUAGCACAUAAUUAUUCACAUUAAGCACCGAUAACAACUUCAUAAAUAAUAUCCAAAUAUGAAGAUCACUCAUAUGUAAUUCCUCAAAAUCCUUAGAGCACCUAAAAAUGUAUCUAAAAAGCAAAUAAGUAUGAAACGCAGCGAAAAAUUAAAAUCGUGCGAUAAUCGUGCGAAUGGUUUUUAUGCCCAGAAUUGUUCAGAAACAAAGUCUGAUGUUUUUAAGCUGCAAAAUCCUUUAUAACUUUCACUUAACACUACGAAAAUUAUGAAAACCAACGCAAGUUUUGCCGAGUUUCUUUGUUUGAGUGAGUUAAAACAUUGGAUUCGAGAUAUUCAAAUUAAUUUCCACUUAAAAACCUGCUAAAACAAUGCCUUCAUAUUUUAAAGCUUGACUCCAGUGAAAAUCAUUUUCACAGGAAAACAUAAAAUUUCAAAAGCAUUAGGCUUCGAGUGCUCCCCCUGUGAACUGCUAAAACAGUUUAGCACAUAAUUAUUCACAUUAAGCACCGAUAACAACUUCAUAAAUAAUAUCCAAAUAUGAAGAUCACUCAUAUGUAAUUCCUCAAAAUCCUUAGAGCACCUAAAAAUGUAUCUAAAAGCAAAUAAGUAUGAAACGCAGCGAAAAAUUAAAAUCGUGCGAUAAUCGUGCGAAUGGUUUUUAUGCCCAGAAUUGUUCAAAAGCAAAGCCUGAUGUUUUAAGCUGCAAAAUCCUUUAUAACUUUCGCUUAACAGUAUGAAAAACUAAAACCAACGCAAGUUUUACCAAGUUUCUUUGUUUGAGUGAGUUUAAAACAUUGGAUUCAAGAUAUUCAAAUUUAUUUCCAUUUAAAAACCUGCUAAAACAAUGCUUUCAUAUUUUAAAGCUUGAGUCCAGUGAAAAUCAUUUUCAAAGGAAAACAUGAAAUUUCAAAAGCAUUAGGCUUCGAGUGCUCCCCCUAUAAACUGCUAAAACAAUUUAGCACACAAUUAUUCCAUUAAGCACCAAUAACAACUUCAUAAAUAAUAUCCAAAUAUGAAGAUAAUUCAUAUGUAAUUCCUUAAAAUCCUUAGAGCACCUAAAAAUGUAUCUAAAAGCAAAUAAGUAUGAAACACGACGAAAAAUUAAAAUCGUGCGAUAAUUGUGCGAAUGGUUUUUAUGCCCAGAAUUGUUCAAAACCAAAAGUCUGAUGUUUUAAACUUCGAAAUCCUUUAUAACUUACACUUAACACCAUGAAAAACAACAAGAAAAUUAAAAUUACGCGAAAUUUAUUUGAAUGUUUUUUAUGCCCAGAAUUGUUCGAAAACAAAGUCUGAUAUUUUGAGCUUCAAAAUCCUUUCUAAGUUACGCUUAAAACUGUGGAGAAAUAAAAAACCAACGCUACUUUUACCUUGUUUCAUUGUUUGAGCAGGUUUAAAACGUUCGAUUCAAUAGAUUCAAAUUCAUUUCCAUUUAAGAACCUUCUAAAACAAUUCUUUCAUAUUUUAAAGCUGGACUAUAGAGAAAAUCAUAUUCGAAGAGAAACAUAAAUUUUCAAAAGCAUUAGGCUUUUAGUUCUCCUUCUAUAAACUGCUAAAACAAGUUAGCAGACCACUAAUCACAUCAGGCGCCAAUAACAACUUCACAAAUAAUAUCGAAAUAUCAAGAUCAUUAACAUGCAAUCUCACAAGUUCCUUAGAGCACCUAGAAAAGUAUCUAAAAGGCAAUAAGUAUGAAACACAAUGAAAAAUUCAAAUCUUGCAAAAAUGGUUUUUAUGCCACAAUUUUGAAAAUUUGCAAAUGCUUUUUUAUGCCCAAAAUUGUUCAAAAAUGAAAUCAGAUGUUUUAAGCUUCAAAAUCCUUUAUAACUUACACUUAGCACUAUGAAAAAUUAAAACCAAUGCAAGUUUUACCAUGUUUCUUAAUUUGAGCAAUUUUAAAACAUCGGAUUCAAGAUAUUCAAAUUCAUUUUCGUUUAAAAUCCUGCCAAAACAAUGCUUUCGUAUUUUAAAGCUUGACUCAAGUGAAAAUCAUUUUCAAAGCAAAACAUAAAAUUCUAAAAGCAUUAGCCUCGAUUGCUCCCUUAUAAACUGCAAAAAUAAUUUAGCACACAAUUAAUCACAUCAAGCACCAAUAACAACUCCACAAAUAAUAUCCAAAUAUGAAGAUCAUUCAUAUGUAAUUCCUCAACUCCUUAGAGAGCCUAAAUUUGUAUCUAAAAGAAAAUAAGUAUGAACACGAUGAAAAAUUAAAAUCGUGCAAUAAUUGUGCGAAUGGUUUUUCUGCCCAGAAUUGUUUAGAAACAAAGUCUGAUGUUUUAAGCUGCAAAAUCCUUUGUAACUUUCGCUUAACACUAUGAAAAAUUAAAACCAACGCAUGUUUUACCAAGUUUCUUUGUUUGAGCAAGUUUAAAACAUUGCAUUCAAGAUUUUCAAAUUCAUUCCCAUUUAAAAACCUGCUAAAACAACGCUUUCUUAUUUUAAAGCUUGACUCCAGUGAAAAUCGUUUUCACAGCAAAACAUAAAAUUUCAAAAGCAUUAGGCUUCGAGUGCUCACCCUGUAAACUGGUAGAAAGCACAUAACAAUAUCCAACUUGACAAAUAAUAUCGAAAUAUGAAUUUUGAUUCAUAUGCAAUUCCUAACCAUCCUUAGAGCACCAAAAAAUGUAUCUAAAAGCAAAUAAGUAUGAAACACGAUGAAAAAUUAAAAUUGUGCAAUAAUUGUGCGAAUGGUUUUUAUGCCCAGAAUUGUUUAGAAACAAAGUCUGAUGUUUUUAGCUGCAAAAUCCUUUAUAACUUUCGCUUAACAGUAUGAAAAACUAAAACCAACGCAAGUUUUACCAAGUUUCUUUGUUUGAGUGAGUUUAAAACAUUGGAUUCAAGAUAUUGAAAUUUAUUUCCAUUUAAAAACCUGCUAAAACAAUGCUUUCUUAUUUUAAAGCUUGACUCUAAUGAAAAUCGUUUUCAAAGCAAAACAUAAAAUUUCAAAAACAUUAGGCUUCUAGUGCUCCCCCUGUAAACUGGUAGAAAGCACCUAACAAUAUCUAACUUGACAAAUAAUAUCCAAAUAUGAAUUUCAUAUUUAUGUAAUUCCUAAACAUCCUUAGAGCACCUAAAUAUGUAUGUAAAAGCAAAUAAGUACGAAAUACAAUAAAAUAUUAAAAUCGUGCAAUAAUUGUGCGAAUAGUUUUUAUGCCCAGAAUUGUUCAGAAACAAAGUCUGAUGUUUUAAGCUGCAAAAUCCUUUAUAACUUUCGCUUAACAGUGUGAAAAACUAAAACCAACGCAAGUUUUACCAAGUUUCUUUGUUUGGGUGUGUUUAAAACAUUGGAUUCAAGAUAUUCAAAUUCAUUUCCAUUUAAAAACCUGCUAAAACAUUUCUUUCAUAUUUUAAAGCUUUACUCCAGUGAAAAUCAUUUUCAAAGGAAAACAUAAAAUUUCAAAAGCAUUAGGCUUCGAGUGCUCCCCCUAUAAACUGCUAAAACAAUUUAGCACACAAUUAUUCACAUUAAGCACCAAUAACAAGUUCAUAAAUAAUAUCCAAAUAUGAAGAUCAUUCAUAUGUAAUUCCUCAAAAUCCUUAGAGCACCUAAAAAUGUAUCUAAAAGCAAAUAAGUAUGAAACACAACGAGAAAUUAAAAUCGUACGAUAAUUGUGCGAAUGGUUUUUAUGCCCAGAAUUAUUCGAAACCAAAAGUCUGAUGUUUUAAACUUCGAAAUCCUUUAUAACUUACACUUAACACCAUGAAAAGCAAGAACAAAAUUAAAAUCACGAGAAAAUUGUUCGAAUGUUUUUUAUGCCCAGAAUUGUUUGAAAACAAAUUCUGAUAUUUUGAGCUUCAAAAUCCUUUCUAAGCUUCGCUUAAAACUGUGGAAAAAUUAAAAAUCAAUGCUAGUUUUACCUCGUUUCAUUGUUUGAGCAGGUUUAAAACGUUCGAUUCAAUAGAUUCAAAUUCAUUUCCAUUUAAAAACUUUCUAAAACAAUUCUUUCAUAUUUUAAAGCUGGACUAUAGAGAAAAUCAUAUCCGAAGAAAAACAUAAAAUUUCAAAAGCAUUAGGCUUUUAGUGCUCCUUUUAUAAACUGCUAAAACAAGUUAGCAGACCACUAAUCACAUCAGGCACCAAUAACAACUUCACAAAUAAUAUCGAAAUAUCUAGAUCAUUAACAUGUAAUCUCACAAGUUCCUUAGAGCACCUAAAAAUGUACCUAAAAGCCAAUAAGUAUGAAACACAACGAAAAAUUCUAAUCUUGCAAAAAUGAUUUUUAUGCCACAAUUUUGAAAUUUUGCAAAUGCUUUUUUAUGCUCAAAAUUGUUUAAAAAUGAAAUCAGAUGUUUUAAGCUUCAAAAUCCUUUAUAACUUACACUUAACACUGUGAAAAAUUAAAACCAAUGCAAGUUCUACCAUGUUUCUUAAUUUGAGCAAUUUUAAAACAUCGGAUUCAAGAUAUUCAAAUUCAUUUCCGUUUAAAAACCUGCUAAAACAAUGCUUUCGUAUUUUAAAGCUUAACUCCAGUGAAAAUCAUUUUCAAAGCAAAACAUAAAAUUCUAAAAGCAUUAGGCUUCGAGUGCUCCUUUUAUGAACUGCUAAAAUAAUUUAGCACACAAUUAAUCAUGUCAGGCACGAAUAACAAUUUCACAAAUAAUAUCCAAAUAUUAAGCUCAUUCAUAUGUAAUUCCUCAACUCCUUAGAGCGCCUAAAUUUGUGUCGAAAAGAAAAUAAGUAUGAAUACAAUGAAAAAUUAAAAUCAUGCAAUAAUUGUGCGAUUGGUUUUUCUGCCCAGAAUUGUUCAAAAACAAAGUCUGAUGUUUUAAGCUGCAAAAUCCUUUAUAACUUUCGCUUAACACUAUGAAAAACUAAAACCAACGCAAGUUUUACCAAGUUUCUUUGUUUGAGUGAGUUUAAAACAUUGGAUUCAAGAUAUUCAAAUUCAUUUCCAUUUAAAAACCAGCUAAAACAAUGCUUUCAUAUUUUAAAGCUUAACUCCAGUGAAAAUCAUUUUCAAAGGAAAACAUAAAAUUUCAAAAGCAUUAGGCUUCGAGUGCUCCCCCUAUAAACUGCUAAAACAAUUUAGCACACAAAUUAUUCACAUUAAGCACCAAUAACAACUUCAUAAAUAAUAUCCAAAUAUGAAGAUCAUUCAUAUGUAAUUCUUCAAAAUCCUUAGAGCACUUAAAAAUGUGUCUAAAAGCAAAUAAGUAUGAAAAACAACGAAAAAUUAAAGUCAUGCAAUAAUUGUGCGAAUGAUUUUUAUGUCCAGAAUUGUUCAAAACCAAAAGUCUGAUAUUUUAAACAUCGAAAUCCUUUAUAACUUACACUUAACACCAUGAAAAACAACGACAAAAUUAAAAUCACGCGAAAAUUGUUCGAAAGUCUUUUAUAUCCAGAAUUGUUCGAAAACAAAGUCUGAUAUUUUGAGCUUCAAAAUCCUUUCUAAGUUACACUUAAAACAGUAGAAAAAUUAAAAACCAAUGCUAGUUUUACCUUGUUUCAUUGUUUGACCAGGUUUAAAACAUUCGAUUGAAAAAUGAAAUAGGUUGUUUUAAGCUUCAAAAUCCUUUAUAACUUACACUUAACACUGUGAAAAAUUAAAACCAAUGCAAGUUUUGCCAUGUUUCUUUAUUUGAGCAUGUUUAAAACAUCGGAUUCAAGAUAUUCAAAUUCAUUUCCGUUUAAAAACCUGCUAAAACAAUGCUUUCGUAGUUUAAAGCUUUACUCCAGUGAAAAUCAUUUUCAAAGCAAAACAUAAAAUUAUAAAAGCAUUAGGCUUCGAGUGCUCCCCUUAUAAACUGCUAAAAUAAUUUAGCACACAAUUAAUCACAUCAAGCACCAAUAACAACUUCACAAAUAACAUCCAAAUACGAAGAUCAUUCAUAUGUAAUUCUUCAACUCCUUAGAGCGCCUAAAUUUGUAUCUAAUAGAAAAUAAGUAUGAACACGAUUAAAAAUUAAAUCGUGCAAUAAUUGUGCGAAUGAUUUUUAUGCCCAAAAUUUUUCAGAAAAAAAGUCCGAUGUUCAUAAAGCUUCAGUGAAAAUCAUUUUCAAAGAAAAACAUAAAAUUUCAAAAGCAUUAGGCUUCGAGUGCUCACCCUAUAAACUAUUAAAACAAUUUAGCACACAAUUAUUCACAUUAAGCACCAAUAACAACUUCAUAAAUAAUAUCCAAAUAUGAAGAUCAUUCAUAUGUAAUUCCUCAAAAUCCUUAGAGCACCUAAAAAUGUAUCUAAAAGCAAAUAAGUAUGAAACACAGCGAAAAAUAAAAAUCGUGCGAUAAUUGUGCAAAUGAUUUUUAUGUCCAGAAUUGUUCAAAACCAAAAGUCUGAUAUUUUAAACUUCGAAAUCCUUUAUAACUUACACUUAACACCAUGAAAAACAACAACAAAAUUAAAAUCACGCGAAAAUUGUUUGAAUGUUUUUUAUGCCCAGAAUUGUUCGAAAACAAAGUUUGAUAUUUUGAGCUUCAAAAUCCGUUCUAAGUUACACUUAAAACAGUGGAAAAAUUAAAAACCAACGCUAAUUUUACCUUGUUUCAAUGUUUGAGCAGGUUUAAAACGUUCGAUUGAAAAAUGAAAUUGGUUGUUUUAAGCUUCAAAAUCAUUUAUAACUUAUACUUAACACUAUGAAAAAUUAAAACCAAUGCAAGUUUUACCUUGUUUCUUUAUUUGAGCAUGUUUAAAACAUCGGAUUCAAGAUAUUCAAAUUCAUUUUCGUUUAAAAACCUGCUAAAACAAUGCUUUCGUAGUUUAAACCUUUACUCCAGUGAAAAUCAUUUUCAAAGCAAAACAUAAAAUUAUAAAAGCAUUAGGCUUCGAGUGCUCCCCUGAUAAACUGCUAAAAUAAUUUAGCACACAAUUAAUCACAUGAAGCACCAAUAACAACUUCACAAAUAAUAUCCAAAUAUGAAGAUCAUUCAUAUAUAAUUCCUCAACUCCUUAGAGCGCCUAAAUUUGUAUCUAAAAGAAAAUAAGUAUGAACACGAUGAAAAAUUAAAAUCGUGCAAUAAUUGUGCGAAUGAUUUUUACGCCCAAAAUUGUUCAGAAAGAAAGUCUGAUGUUUUAAGCUCCAAAAUCCUUUAUAACUUGCAAUUAACACUAUGAAAAAUUAAAACCAAUGGGAAGUUUUAUAUGUUUCUUUGUUUGAGCAAGUUUAAAACAUUGGAUUCAAGAUUUUCAAAUUCAUUUCCAUUAAAAACCUUCUAAAACAAUGCUUUCUUAUUUGAAAGCUUUACUCUAGUGAAAAUCGUUUUCAAAGGAAAACAUAAAAUUUCAAAAGCAUUAGGCUUCGAGUGCUCCGCCUGUAAACUGGUAGAAAGCACAUAACAGUAUCCAACUUCACAAAUAAUAUGCAAAUAUGAAUUUCAUUCAUAUGCAAAUUGUAAACAUCCUUAGAGCAACUAAAAAUGUAUGUAAAAGCAAAUAAGUAUGAAACACAACGAAAUAUGAAAAUCGUAUAAUAAUUGUGCGAAUGGUUUUUAUGCUCAGAAUUGUUCAGAAAGAAAGUCUGAUGUUUUAAGCUACAAAAUCGUUCAUAACUUUUGCUUAACACUAUGAAAAACUAAAACCAACGCAAGUUUUACCAAGUUUCUUUGUUUUAGUGAGUUUAAAACAUUGGAUUCAAGAUAUUCAAAUUCAUUUCCAUUUAAAAACCUGCUAAAACAACGCUUUCAUAUUUUAAAGCUUAACUCCAGUGAAAAUCGUUUUCAAAGCAAAACAUAAAAUUUCAAAAGCAUUAGGCUUCGAGUGCUCCCCUGUAAACUGGUAGAAAGCACAUAACAAUAUCAAACUUCACAAAUAAUAUCCAAAUAUGAAUUUCAUUCAUAUGUAAUUCCUAAACAUCCUUAGAGCACCUAAAAAUGUAUCAAAAAUAAAAUAAGUAUGAAACACAACGAAAUAUUAAAAUCAUGCAAUAAUUGUGCGAAUGGUUUUUAUGCCCAGAAUUGUUCAGAAACAAAGUCUGAUGUUUUAAGCUGCAAAAUCCUUUAUAACUUUCACUUUACACUAUGAAAAACUAAAACCAACGCAAGUUUUACCAAGUUUCUUUGUUUGAGUGAGUUUAAAACAUUAGAUUCAAGAUAUUCAAAUUUAUUUACAUUUAAAAACCUGCUCAAACAAUGCUUUCAUAUUUUAAAACUUGACUCCAGUGAAAAUCAUUUUCAAAGGAAACAUAAAAUUUCAAAAGUAUUAGGUUUCGAGUGCUCCACCUAUAAACUGCUAAAACAAUUUAGCACACAAUUAUUCACAUUAAGCACCAACAACUUCACAAAUAAUAUCCAAAUAUGAAGAUCAUUCAUAUGUAAUUCCUCAACUCCUUAGAGCGCAUAAAAUUUGUAUCUAAAAGAAAAUAAGUAUGAACACAAUGAAAAAUUAAAAUCGUGCAAUAAUUGUGCGAAUGGUUUUUAUGCCCAGAAUUGUUUAGAAAUAAAGUCUGAUGUUUUAAGCUGCAAAAUCCUUUAUAACUUUCGCUUAACACUAUAAGAAACUAAAACCAAUGCAAGUUUUACCAAGUUUCUUUGUUUGAGCAAGUUUAAAACAUUGGAUUCAAGAUUUUCAAAUUCAUUUCCAUUUAAAAACCUGCUAAAACAAUGCUUUCUUAUUUUAAAGCUUGACUCCAGUGAAAAUCAUUUUCAAAGCAAAACAUAAAAUUUCAAAAGCAUUACGUUUCGAGUGCUCCCCCUGUAAACUGGUAGAAAGCACAAAAUGAUAUUCAACUUCAGAAAAAUAUCCAAAUAUGAAUUUUAUUCAUAUGUAAUUCCUAAACAUCCUUAGAACACCUACAAAUGUAUCUAAAGGCAAAUAAGUAUGAAACACAAUGAAAUAUUAAAAUAGUGCAAUAAUUGUGCGAAUGGUUUGUAUGCCCAGUAUUAUUCAGAAACAAAGUCUGAUGUUUUUAGCUGUAAAAUCUUUUAUAACUUUCGCUUAACAGUAUGUAAAACUAAAACCAACGCAAGUUUUACCAAGUUUCUUUGUUUGAGUGAGUUUAAAACAUUGGAUUCAAGAUAUUCAAAUUCAUUUCCAUUUAAAAACCUGCUAAAACAAUGCUUUCUUAUUUUAAAGCUUGACUCUAAUGAAAAUCAUUUUCAAAGGAAAACAUAAAAUUUCAAAAGCAUUAGGCUUCGAGUGCUCCCCAUAUAAACUGCUAGCAAACAAUUAUUCACAUUAAGCACCAAUAACAACUUCAUAAAAAAAUCCAAAUAUGAAGAUCAUUCAUAUGUAAUUCCUUAAAAUCCUUAGAGCACCUAAAAAUGUAUCUAAAAGCAAAUAAAUAUGAAACACAGCGAAAAAUUAAAAUCGUGCGAUAAUUGUGCGAAUGGUUUUUAUGCCCAAAAUUGUUCAAAAGCAAAAGUGUAAUGUUUUAAACUUCGAAAUCCUUUAUAACUUACACUUAACACCAUGAAAAACAACAACAAAAUUAAAAUCACGCGAAAAUUGUUCGACUGUUUUUUAUGCCCAAAAUUGUUCGAAAAUUAAGUCUGAUGUUUUGAGCUUCAAAUCCUUUCUAAGUUACGCUUAACACUGUGAAAAAUUAAAAACCAAUGUUAGUUUUACCUAGUUUCAUUGUUUGAGCAGGUUUAAAACGUUCGAUUCAAUAGAUUCAAAUUCAUUUGCAUUUAAAAACCUUCUAAAACAAUUCCUUCAUAUUUUAAAGCUGGACUAUAGAGAAAAUCAAAUUCGAAGAAAAACAAAAAAAUUCAAAAGCAUUAGGCUUUUGCUGCUCCUUCUAUAAACUGCUAAAACAAGUUAGCAGACCAGUAAACACAUCAGGCGCCAAUAACAACUUCACAAAUAAUAUCCAAAUAUCAAGAUCAUUCACAUGUAAACUCACAAGUUCCUUAGAGCACCUAAAAAUGUAUCUAAAAGCCAAUAAGUAUGAAACACAACGAAAAAUUCAAAUGUUGCAAAAAUGGUUUUUAUGCCACAAUUUUGAAAUUUUGCAAAUGGUUUUUUCUGCCCAAAAUUGUUCAAAAAUGAAAUCGGAUGUUUUAAGCUUCAAAAUCCAUUAUAACUUACACUUAACACUGUGAAAAAUUAAAACUAAUGCAAGUUUUAUCAUGUUUUUUUAUUUUAGCAAGUUUAAAACAUCGUAUUCAAGAUAUUCAAAUUCGUUUUCGUUUAAAAACCUGCUAAAACAAUGCUUUCAUAUUUUAAAGCUUUACUCCAGUGAAAAUCAUUUUCAAGGCAAAACAUAAAAUUAUAAAAGCAUUAGGCUUCGAGUGCUCCCCUUAUAAACUGCUAAAAUAAUUUAACACACAAUUAAUCACAACAAGCACCAAUAACAACUUCAUAAAUAAUAUCCAAAUAUGAAGAUCACUCAUAUGUAAUUCCUCAAAUCCUUAGAGCACCUAAAAUGUAUCUAAAAAGCAAAUAAGUAUGAAACACGAGCGAAAAAUUAAAAUCGUGCGAUAAUCGUGCGAAUGGUUUUUAUGCCCAGAAUUGUUCAGAAACAAAGUCUGAUGUUUUUAAGCUGCAAAAUCCUUUAUAACUUUCACUUACACUACGAAAAUUAAAACCAACGCAAGUUUUACCAAGUUUCUUUGUUUGAGUGAGUUUAAAACAUUGAUUCAAGAUAUUCAAAUUAAUUUCCAUUUAAAAACCUCUAAAACAAUGCUUUCAUAUUUUAAAAGCUUGACUCCAGUGAAAAUCAUUUUCACAGGAAAACAUAAAAUUUCAAAAGCAUUAGGCUUUCGAGUGCUCCCUGUAAACUGUAAAACAGUUUAGCCAUAUUUAUUCAAUAAGCACGAUAACAACUUCAUAAAUAAUAUCCAAAUAUGAAGAUCACUCAUAUGUAAAUCCUAAACAUCCUUAGAGCACCUAAAAAUGUAUCUAAAAGCAAAUAAGUAUGAAACACAACGAAAUAUUAAAAUCGUGCAAUAAUUGUGCGAAUAGUUUUUAUGCCCAGAAUUGUUCAGAAACAAAGUCUGAUGUUUUAAGCUGCAAAAUCCUUUAUAACUUUCGCUUAACACUAUGAAAAACUAAAACCAACGCAAGUUUUACCAAGUUUCUUUGUUUGAGUGAGUUUAAAACAUUGGAUUCCAGAUAUUCAAAUUCAUUUCCAUUUAAAAACCUGCUAAAACAAUGCUUUCAUAUUUUAAAGCUUGACUCCAGUGAAAAUCAUUUUCAAAGGAAAACAUAAAAUUUCAAAAGCAUUAGGCUUCGAGUGCUCCCCAUAUAAACAGCUAAAACAAUUUAGCAAACAAUUAUUCACAUUAAGCACGAAUAACAACUUUAUAAAUAAUAUCCAAAUAUGAAGAUCAUUCAUAUGUAAUUCCUCAAAAUCUUUAGAGCACCUAAAAAUGUAUCUAAAAGCAAAUAAGUAUGAAACACAGCGAAAAAUUAAAAUCGUGCGAUAAUUGUGCGAAUGGUUUUUAUGCUCAGAAUUGUUCAAAACCAAAAGUCUGAUGUUUUAAACUUCGAAAUCCUUUAUAACUUACACUUAACACCAUGAAAAACAACAAGAAAAUUAAAAUUACGUGAAAAUUGUUCGAAUGUUUUUUAUGCCCAGAAUUGUUCGAAAACAAUGUCUGAUAUUUUGAGUUUCAAAAUCCUUUCUAAGUUACACUUAAAACUGUGAAAAAAUUAAAAACCAAAGCUAGUUUUACCUUGUUUCAUUGUUUGAGCAGGUUUAAAACGUUCGAUUCAAUAGAUUCAAAUUCAUUUUUAUUUAAAAACCUUCUAAAACAAUUUUUUCAUAUUUUAAAGCUGGGCUAUAGGGAAAAUCAUAUUCAAAGAAAAACAUAAAAUUUCAAAAGUAUUAGGCUUUUAGUGCUCCUUCUAUAAACUGCUAAAACAAGUUAGCAGACCACUAAUCACAUCAGGUGCGAGUAACAACUUCACAAAUAAUAUCCAAAUAUCAAGAUCAUUUACAUGUAAUCUCACAAGUUCCUUAGAGCACCUUAAAAUGUAUCUAAAAGCCAAUAAGUAUGAAACACAACGAAAAAUUCAAAUGUUGCAAAAAUGGUUUUUAUGCCACAAUUUUGAAAUUUUGCAAAUGGUUUUUUCUGCCCAAAAUUGUUCAAAAAUGAAAUCGGAUGUUUUAAGCUUCAAAAUCCUUUAUAACUUACACUUAACACUGUGAAAAAUUAAAACCAAUGUAAGUUUUACAAUGUUUUUUUAUUUCAGCAAGUUUAAAACAUCGGAUUCAAGAUAUUCAAAUACAUUUCCGUUUAAAAACAUGCUAAAACAAUGCUUUCAUAUUUUAAAGCUUGACUCCAGUGAAAAUCAUUUUCAAAGCAAAACAUAAAAUUCUAAAAGCAUUAGGCUUCGAGUGCUCCCUUUAUAAACUGCUAAAAUAAUUUAGCACACAAUUGAUCACAUCAAGCACCAAUAACAACUCCACAAAUAAUAUUCAAAUAUGAAGAUCAUUCAUAUGUAGUUCCUCAACUCCUUAGAGCACCUAAAUUUGUAUCUAAAAGAAAAUAAGUAUGAACACAAUGAAAAAUUAAAAUCUUGCAAUAAUUGUGCGAAUGGUUUUUAUGCCCAGAAUUGUUCAGAAAAAAGUUUGAUGAUUUAAGCUGCAAAAUCCUUUAUAACUUUCGCUUAACACUAUGAAAAACUAAAACCAACGCAAGUUUUACCAAGUUUCUUUGUUUGAGCAAGUUUAAAACCUUGGAUUCAAGAUUUUCAAAUUCAUUUCCAUUUAAAAACCUGCUAAAACAAUGCUUUCUUAUUUUAAAGCUUGACACCAAUGAAAAUCAUUUUCAAAGCAAAACAUAAAAUUUCAAAAGCAUUAGGCUUCGAGUGCUCCCCCUGUAAACUGGUAGAAAGCACAAAACGAUAUCCAACUUCACAAAUAAUAUCCAAAUAUGAGUUUCAUUCAUAUGUAAUUCCUCAAAAUCCUUAGAGCACCUAAAAAUGUAUCUAAAAAAGCAAAUAAGUACGGAACGCAGCGAAAAAUUAAAAUCGUGCGAUAAUCGUGCGAAUGGUUUUUAUGCCCAGAAUUGUUCAGAAACAAAGUCUGAUGUUUUUAAGCUGCAAAAUCCUUUAUAACUUUCACUUAACACUACGAAAAUUAUGAAAACCAACGCAAGUUUUGCCGAGUUUCUUUGUUUGAGUGAGUUUAAAACAUUGGAUUCGAGAUAUUCAAAUUAAUUUCCACUUAAAAACCUGCUAAAACAAUGCCUUCAUAUUUAAAGCUUGACUCCAGUGAAAAUCAUUUUCGCAGGAAAACAUAAAAUUUCAAAAGCAUUAGGCUUCGAGUGCUCCCCCUGUGAACUGCUAAAACAGUUUAGCACAUAAUUAUUCACAUUAAGCACCGAUAACAACUUCAUAAAUAAUAUCCAAAUAUGAAGAUCAUUCAUAUGUAAUUCCUCAAAAUCCUUAAAGCACCUAAAAAUGUAUCUAAAAGCAAAUAAUUAUGAAACACAGCGAAAAAUUAAAAUCGUGCGAUAUUUGUGCGAAUGGUUUUUAUGCCCAAAAUUGUUCAAAACCAAAAGUCUGAUGUUUUAAACUUCGAAAUCCUUUAGAACCUACACUUAACACCAUGAAAAACAACAAGAAAAUUAAAAUCAUGCGAAAAUUGUUCGAAUGUUUUUUAUGCCCAGAAUUGUUCGAAAACAAAGUAUGAUAUUUUGAGCUUCAAAAUCCUUUCUAAGUUUCUUUGUUUGAGCAAGUUUAAAACAUUGGAUUCAAGAUUUUGAAAUUCAUUUCCAUUUAAAAACCUGCUAAAACAAUGCUUUCCUAUUUUAAAGCUUCACUCCAGUGAAAAUCGUUUUCAAAGCAAAACAUAAAAUUUCAAAAAGCAUUAGGCUUCGAGUACUCCCCUGUAAACUGGUAGAAAGCACAAAACGAUAUCCAACUUCAUAAAUAAUAUCCAAAUAUGAAGAUCACUCAUAUGUAAUUCCUCAAAAUCCUUAGAGCACCUAAAAAUGUAUCUAAAAAGCAAAUAAGUAUGAAACGCAGCGAAAAAUUAAAAUCGUGCGAUAAUCGUGCGAAUGGUUUUUAUGCCCAGAAUUGUUCAGAAACAAAGUCUGAUGUUUUUAAGCUGCAAAAUCCUUUAUAACUUUCACUUAACACUACGAAAAUUAUGAAAACCAACGCAAGUUUUGCCGAGUUUCUUUGUUUGAGUGAGCUUAAAACAUUGGAUUCGAGAUAUUCAAAUUAAUUUCCACUUAAAAACCUGCUAAAACAAUGCCUUCAUAUUUUAAAGCUUGACUCCAGUGAAAAUCAUUUUCACAGGAAAACAUAAAAUUUCAAAAGCAUUAGGCUUCGAGUGCUCCCCCUGUGAACUGCUAAAACAGUUUAGCACAUAAUUAUUCACAUUAAGCACCGAUAACAACUUCAUAAAUAAUAUCCAAAUAUGAAGAUCACUCAUAUGUAAUUCCUCAAAAUCCUUAGAGCACCUAAAAAUGUAUCUAAAAAGCAAAUAAGUAUGAAACGCAGCGAAAAAUUAAAAUCGUGCGAUAAUCGUGCGAAUGGUUUUUAUGCCCAGAAUUGUUCAGAAACAAAGUCUGAUGUUUUUAAGCUGCAAAAUCCUUUAUAACUUUCACUUAACACUACGAAAAUUAUGAAAACCAACGCAAGUUUUGCCGAGUUUCUUUGUUUGAGUGAGUUUAAAACAUUGGAUUCGAGAUAUUCAAAUUAAUUUCCACUUAAAAACCUGCUAAAACAAUGCCUUCAUAUUUUAAAGCUUGACUCCAGUGAAAAUCAUUUUCACAGGAAAACAUAAAAUUUCAAAAGCAUUAGGCUUCGAGUGCUCCCCCUGUGAACUGCUAAAACAGUUUAGCACAUAAUUAUUCACAUUAAGCACCGAUAACAACUUCAUAAAUAAUAUCCAAAUAUGAAGAUCACUCAUAUGUAAUUCCUCAAAAUCCUUAGAGCACCUAAAAAUGUAUCUAAAAAGCAAAUAAGUACGAAACGCAGCGAAAAAUUAAAAUCGUGCGAUAAUCGUGCGAAUGGUUUUUAUGCCCAGAAUUGUUCAGAAACAAAGUCUGAUGUUUUUAAGCUGCAAAAUCCUUUAUAACUUUCACUUAACACUACGAAAAUUAUUAAAACCAACGCAAGUUUUACCGAGUUUCUUUGUUUGAGUGAGUUUAAAACAUUGGAUUCGAGAUAUUCAAAUUAAUUUCCACUUAAAAACCUGCUAAAACAAUGCCUUCAUAUUUUAAAGCUUGACUCCAGUGAAAAUCAUUUUCACAGGAAAACAUAAAAUUUCAAAAGCAUUAGGCUUCGAGUGCUCCCCCUGUGAACUGCUAAAACAGUUUAGCACAUAAUUAUUCACAUCAGGUGCGAGUAACAACUUCACAAAUAAUAUCCAAAUAUCAAGAUCAUUUACAUGUAAUCUCACAAGUUCCUUAGAGCACCUUAAAAUGUAUCUAAAAGCCAAUAAGUAUGAAACACAACGAAAAAUUCAAAUGUUGCAAAAAUGGUUUUUAUGCCACAAUUUUGAAAUUUUGCAAAUGGUUUUUUCUGCCCAAAAUUGUUCAAAAAUGAAAUCGGAUGUUUUAAGCUUCAAAAUCCUUUAUAACUUACACUUAACACUGUAAAAUUAAAACCAAUGUAAGUUUUACAGAUGUUUGUAUUUCAGCAAGUUUAAAACAUCGGAUUCAAGAUAUUUAAAUACAUUUCCGUUAAAAGAACAUGCUAAAACAAUGCUUUCGUAUUUUAAAGCUUGACUCCAGUGAAAAUCAUUUUCAAAGCAAAACAUAAAAUUCUAAAAGCAUUAGCCUCGAUUGCUCCCUUAUAAACUGCUAAAAUAAUUUAGCACACAAUCAAUCACAUCAAGCACCAAUAACAACUUCACAAAUAAUAUCCAAAUAUGAAGAUCAUUCAUAUGUAAUUCCUCAACUCCUUAGAGAGCCUAAAUUUGUAUCUAAAAGAAAAUAAGUAUGAACACGAUGAAAAAUUAAAAUCGUGCAAUAAUUGUGCGAAUGGUUUUUCUGCCCAGAAUUGUUUAGAAACAAAGUAUGAUGUUUUAAGCUGCAAAAUCCUUCGUAACUUUCGCUUAACACUAUGAAAAAUUAAAACCAACGCAUGUUUUACCAAGUUUCUUUGUUUGAGCAAGUUUAAAACAUUGGAUUCAAGAUUUUCAAAUUCAUUUCCAUUUAAAAACCUGCUAAAACAACGCUUUCUUAUUUUAAAGCUUGACUCCAGUGAAAAUCGUUUUCACAGCAAAACAUAAAAUUUCAAAAGCAUUAGGCUUCGAGUGCUCACCCUGUAAACUGGUAGAAAGCACAUAACAAUAUCCAACUUGACAAAUAAUAUCGAAAUAUGAAUUUCAUUCAUAUGCAAUUCCUAACCAUCCUUAGAGCACCUAAAAAUGUAUCUAAAAGCAAAUAAGUAUGAAACACGAUGAAAAAUUAAAAUCGUGCAAUAAUUGUGCGAAUGUUUUUUAUGCCCAGAAUUGUUUAGAAACAAAGUCUGAUGUUUUUAGCUGCAAAAUCCUUUAUAACUUUCGCUUAACAGUAUGAAAAACUAAAACCAACGGAAGUUUUACCAAGUUUCUUUGUUUGAGUGAGUUUAAAACAUUGGAUUCAAGAUAUUGAAAUUUAUUUCCAUUUAAAAACCUGCUAAAACAAUGCUUUCUUAUUUUAAAGCUUGACUCUAAUGAAAAUCGUUUUCAAAGCAAAACAUAAAAUUUCAAAAGCAUUAGGCUUCUAGUGCUCCCUCUGUAAACUGGUAGAAUGCAAGUUUUAUCAUGUUUUUUUAUUUUAGCAAGUUUAAAACAUCGUAUUCAAGAUAUUCAAAUUCGUUUUCGUUUAAAAACCUGCUAAAACAAUGCUUUCAUAUUUUAAAGCUUUACUCCAGUGAAAAUCAUUUUCAAGGCAAAACAUAAAAUUAUAAAAGCAUUAGGCUUCGAGUGCUCCCCUUAUAAACUGCUAAAAUAAUUUAACACACAAUUAAUCACAACAAGCACCAAUAACAACUUCACAAAUAAUAUCCAAAUAUGAAGAUCAUUCAUAUGUAAUUCCUCAACACCUUAGAGCGCCUAAAUUUGUAUUUAAAAGAAAAUAAGUAUGAACACGAUGAAAAAUUAAAAUCGUGCAAUAAUUGUGCGAAUGGUUUUUCUGCCAAGAAUUUUUCAGAAACAAAGUCUGAUGUUUUAAGCUGUAAAAUCCUUCAUAACUUUCGCUUAACACUAUGAAAAACUAAAACCAACGCAAGUUUUACCAAGUUUCUUUGUUUGAGCAAGUUUAAAACAUUAGAUUCAAGAUUUUCAAAUUCAUUUCCAUUUAAAAACCUACUAAAACAAUGCUUUCUUAUUUUAAAGCUUCACUCCAGUGAAAAUUAUUUUCAAAGCAAAACAUAAAAUUUCAAAAGCAUUAGGCUCCGAGUGCUCCCCUUGUAAACUGGUAGAAAGCACAUAACGAUAUCCAACUUCACAAAUAAUAUCCAAAUAUGAAUUUUAUUCAUAUGUAAAUCCUAAACAUCCUUAGAGCACCUAAAAAUGUAUCUAAAAGCAAAUAAGUAUGAAACACAACGAAAUAUUAAAAUCGUGCAAUAAUUGUGCGAAUGGUUUUUAUGCCCAGAAUUGUUCAGAAACAAAGUCUGAUGUUUUAAGCUGCAAAAUCCUUUAUAACUUUCGCUUAACACUAUGAAAAACUAAAACCAACGCAAGUUUUACCAAGUUUCUUUGUUUGAGUGAGUUUAAAACAUUGGAUUCGAGAUAUUCAAAUUCAUUUCCAUUUAAAAACCUACUAAAACAAUGCUUUCAUAUUUAAAGCUUGACUCCAGUGAAAAUCAUUUCAAAGGAAAACAUAAAAUUCAAAGGCAUUAGGCUUCGAGUGCUCCCCAUAUAAACAGCUAAAACAAUUUAGCAAACAAUUAUUCACAUUAAGCACCAAUAACAACUUCAUAAAUAAUAUCCAAAUAUGAAGAUCAUUCAUAUGUAAUUCCUCAAAAUCUUUAGAGCACCUAAAAAUGUAUCUAAAAGCAAAUAAGUAUGAAACACAGCGAAAAAUUAAAAUCGUGCGAUAAUUGUGCGAAUGGUUUUUAUGCUCAGAAUUAUUCAAAACCAAAAGUCUGAUGUUUUAAACUUCGAAAUCCUUUAUAACUUACACUUAACACCAUGAAAAACAACAAGAAAAUUAAAAUUACGUGAAAAUUGUUCGAAUGUUUUUUAUGCCCAGAAUUGUUCGAAAACAAAGUCUGAUAUUUUGAGUUUCAAAAUCCUUUCUAAGUUACACUUAAAACUGUGAAAAAAUUAAAAACCAAAGCUAGUUUUACCUUGUUUCAUUGUUUGAGCAGGUUUAAAACGUUCGAUUCAAUAGAUUCAAAUUCAUUUUUAUUUAAAAACCUUCUAAAACAAUUUUUUGAUAUUUUAAAGCUGGACUAUAGGAAAAAUCAUAUUCAAAGAAAAACAUAAAAUUUCAAAAGAAUUAGGCUUUUAGUGCUCCUUCUAUAAACUGCUAAAACAAGUUAGCAGACCACUAAUCACAUCAGGUGCGAGUAACAACUUCACAAAUAAUAUCCAAAUAUCAAGAUCAUUUACAUGUAAUCUCACAAGUUCCUUAGAGCACCUUAAAAUGUAUCUAAAAGCCAAUAAGUAUGAAACACAACGAAAAAUUCAAAUGUUGCAAAAAUGGUUUUUAUGCCACAAUUUUGAAAUUUUGCAAAUGGUUUUUUCUGCCCAAAAUUGUUCAAAAAUGAAAUCGGAUGUUUUAAGCUUCAAAAUCCUUUAUAACUUACACUUAACACUGUGAAAAAUUAAAACCAAUGUAAGUUUUACAAUGUUUUUUUAUUUCAGCAAGUUUAAAACAUCGGAUUCAAGAUAUUCAAAUACAUUUCCGUUUAAAAAUAUGCUAAAACAAUGCUUUCGUAUUUUAAAGCUUGACUCCAGUGAAAAUCAUUUUCAAAGCAAAACAUAAAAUUCUAAAAGAAUUAGGCUUCGAGUGCUCCCCUUAUAAACUGCUAAAAUAAUUUAGCACACAAUUGAUCACAUCAAGCACCAAUAACAACUUCACAAAUAAUAUUCAAAUAUGAAGAUCAUUCAUAUGUAGUUCCUCAACUCCUUAGAGCACCUAAAUUUGUAUCUAAAAGAAAAUAAGUAUGAACACAAUGAAAAAUUAAAAUCUUGCAAUAAUUGUGCGAAUGGUUUUUAUGCCCAGAAAUGUUCAGAAAAAAGUCUGAUGUUUUAAGCUGCAAAAUCCUUUAUAACUUUCGCUAACACUAUGAAAACUAAAACCAACGCAAGUUUUACCAAGUUUCUUUGUUUUGAGCAAGUUUAAAACCUUGGAUUCAAGAAUUUUCAAAUUCAUUUUCCAUUUAAAAACCUGCUAAAACAAUGCCUUCAUAUUUUAAAGCUUGACUCCAGUGAAAAUCAUUUUCACAGGAAAACAUAAAAUUUCAAAAGCAUUAGGCUUCGAGUGCUCCCCCUGUGAACUGCUAAAACAGUUUAGCACAUAAUUAUUCACAUUAAGCACCGAUAACAACUUCAUAAAUAAUAUCCAAAUAUGAAGAUCACUCAUAUGUAAUUCCUCAAAAUCCUUAGAGCACCUAAAAAUGUAUCUAAAAAGCAAAUAAGUAUGAAACGCAGCGAAAAAUUAAAAUCGUGCGAUAAUCGUGCGAAUGGUUUUUAUGCCCAGAAUUGUUCAGAAACAAAGUCUGAUGUUUUUAAGCUGCAAAAUCCUUUAUAACUUUCACUUAACACUACGAAAAUUAUGAAAACCAACGCAAGUUUUGCCGAGUUUCUUUGUUUGAGUGAGUUUAAAACAUUGGAUUCGAGAUAUUCAAAUUAAUUUCCACUUAAAAACCUGCUAAAACAAUGCCUUCAUAUUUUAAAGCUUGACUCCAGUGAAAAUCAUUUUCACAGGAAAACAUAAAAUUUCAAAAGCAUUAGGCUUCGAGUGCUCCCCCUGUGAACUGCUAAAACAGUUUAGCACAUAAUUAUUCACAUUAAGCACCGAUAACAACUUCAUAAAUAAUAUCCAAAUAUGAAGAUCACUCAUAUGUAAUUCCUCAAAAUCCUUAGAGCACCUAAAAAUGUAUCUAAAAAGCAAAUAAGUACGAAACGCAGCGAAAAAUUAAAAUCGUGCGAUAAUCGUGCGAAUGGUUUUUAUGCCCAGAAUUGUUCAGAAACAAAGUCUGAUGUUUUUAAGCUGCAAAAUCCUUUAUAACUUUCACUUAACACUACGAAAAUUAUUAAAACCAACGCAAGUUUUACCGAGUUUCUUUGUUUGAGUGAGUUUAAAACAUUGGAUUCGAGAUAUUCAAAUUAAUUUCCACUUAAAAACCUGCUAAAACAAUGCCUUCAUAUUUUAAAGCUUGACUCCAGUGAAAAUCAUUUUCGCAGGAAAACAUAAAAUUUCAAAAGCAUUAGGCUUCGAGUGCUCCCCCUGUGAACUGCUAAAACAGUUUAGCACAUAAUUAUUCACAUUAAGCACCGAUAACAACUUCAUAAAUAAUAUCCAAAUAUGAAGAUCACUCAUAUGUAAUUCCUCAAAAUCCUUAGAGCACCUAAAAAUGUAUCUAAAAAGCAAAUAAGUACGAAACGCAGCGAAAAAUUAAAAUCGUGCGAUAAUCGUGCGAAUGGUUUUUAUGCCCAGAAUUGUUCAGAAACAAAGUCUGAUGUUUUUAAGCUGCAAAAUCCUUUAUAACUUUCACUUAACACUACGAAAAUUAUUAAAACCAACGCAAGUUUUACCGAGUUUCUUUGUUUGAGUGAGUUUAAAACAUUGGAUUCGAGAUAUUCAAAUUAAUUUCCACUUAAAAACCUGCUAAAACAAUGCCUUCAUAUUUUAAAGCUUGACUCCAGUGAAAAUCAUUUUCAAAGGAAAACAUAAAAUUUCAAAAGCAUUAGGCUUCGAGUGCUCCCUUAUAAACUGCUAAAACAAUUUAGCACACAAUUAUUCACAUUAAGCACAUAACAACUCAUAAAUAAUAUCCAAAUAUGAAGAUCAUUCAUAUAUAAUUCCUCAAAUCCUGUAGAGCACCUAAAAUGUAUCUAAAAGCAUAUAAGCAUGAAACACAGCGAAAAAUUUUAAAAUCGUGCAAUAAUUGUGCGAAGGUUUUUUAUGCCCAGAAUUGUCAAAACCAAAGUCUGAUGUUUUAAAACUUCGAAAUCCUUUAUAACUUACACUUAACACCAUGAAAACAACAAAAUUAAAAUCACGCGAAAAUUGUUCGAAUAUUUUUAUGCCCAGAAUUGUUCGAAACAAAGUCUGAUAUUUUGAGUUUCAAAAUCCUUUCUAAAGUUACUCUUAAAACAGUGGAAAAAUGAAAAACCAAUGCUAGUUUUACCUUGUUUCAUUGUUUGAGCAGGUUUAAAACGUUCGAUUCAAUAGAUUGAAAUUCAUUUCCAUUCAAAAACCUUCUAAAACAAUGCUUUCCUAUUUUAAAGCUUUACACUAGUGAAAACCGUUUUCAAAGCAAAACAUAAAAUUUCAAAAGUAUUAGGCUUCGAGUGCUCCCCCUGUAAACUGGUAGAAAGCACACAACAAUAUCCAACUUCACAAAUAACAUCCAAAUAUGAAUUUCAAUCAUAUGUAAUUCCUAAACAUCCUUAGAGCACCUAAAAAUGUAUCUAAAAGCAAAUAAGUAUUAAACACAACGAAAUAUUAAAAUCGUGCAAUAAUUGUGCGAAUGGUUUUUACGCCCAGAAUUUUUCGGAAACAAAGUCUGAUGUUUUAAGCUGCAAAAUCCUUUAUAACUUUCGCUUAACACUAUGUAAAACUAAAACCAACGCAAGCUUUACCAAGUUUCUUUGUUUGAGUGGGUUUAAAACAUUGGAUUCAAGAUAUUCAAAUUCAUUUCCAUUCAAAAACUAGCUAAAACAAUGCUUUUAUAUUUUAAAGCUUCACUCCAGUGAAAAUCAUUUUCAAAGGAAAACAUAAAAUUUCAAAAGCAUUACGCUUCGAGUGCUCCCCUUAUAAACUGCUAAAACAAUUUAGCACACAAUUAUUCACAUUAAGCACCAAUAACAACUUCAUAAAUAAUAUCCAAAUAUGAAGAUCAUUCAUAUGUAAUUCCUCAAAAUCCUUAAAGCACCUAAAAAUGUAUCUAAAAGCAAAUAAUUAUGAAACACAGCGAAAAAUUAAAAUCGUGCGAUAUUUGUGCGAAUGGUUUUUAUGCCCAAAAUUGUUCAAAACCAAAAGUCUGAUGUUUUAAACUUCGAAAUCCUUCAUAACUUACACUUAACACCAUGAAAAACAACAAGAAAAUUAAAAUCAUGCGAAAAUUGUUCGAAUGUUUUUUAUGCCCAGAAUUGUUCGGCAGCAAAGUCUGAUAUUUUGAGCUUCAAAAUCCUUUCUAAGUUUCUUUGUUUGAGCAAGUUUAAAACAUUGGAUUCAAGAUUUUGAAAUUCAUUUCCAUUUAAAAACCUGCUAAAACAAUGCUUUCCUAUUUUAAAGCUUCACUCCAGUGAAAAUCAUUUUCAAAGCAAAACAUAAAAUUUCAAAAAGCAUUAGGCUUCGAGUACUCCCCCUGUAAACUGGUAGAAAGCACAAAACGAUAUCCAACUUCACAAAUAAUAUCCAAAUAUGAAUUUCAUUCAUAUGUAAUUCCUAAACAUCCUUAGAGCACCUAAAAAUGUAUCUAAAACCAAAUAAGUAUGAAACACAACGAAAUAUUAAAAUCGUGCAAUAAUUGUGCGAAUGGUUUUUAUGCCUAGAAUUGUUCAGAAACAAAGUCUGAUGUUUUAAGCUGCAAAAUCCUUUAUAACUUUCGCUUAACACUAUGAAAAACUAAAACCAACGCAAGUUUUACCAAGUUUCAUUGUUUGAGUGAGUUUAAAACAUUGGAUUCAAGAUAUUCAAAUUCAUUUCCAUUUAAAAACCAGCUAAAACAAUGCUUUCAUAUUUUAAAGCUUGACUCCAGUGAAAAUCAUUUUCACAGGAAAACAUAAAAUUUCAAAAGCAUUAGGCUUCGAGUGCUCCCCCUGUGAACUGCUAAAACAGUUUAGCACAUAAUUAUUCACAUUAAGCACCGAUAACAACUUCAUAAAUAAUAUCCAAAUAUGAAGAUCACUCAUAUGUAAUUCCUCAAAAUCCUUAGAGCACCUAAAAAUGUAUCUAAAAAGCAAAUAAGUACGAAACGCAGCGAAAAAUUAAAAUCGUGCGAUAAUCGUGCGAAUGGUUUUUAUGCCCAGAAUUGUUCAGAAACAAAGUCUGAUGUUUUUAAGCUGCAAAAUCCUUUAUAACUUUCACUUAACACUACGAAAAUUAUGAAAACCAACGCAAGUUUUGCCGAGUUUCUUUGUUUGAGUGAGCUUAAAACAUUGGAUUCGAGAUAUUCAAAUUAAUUUCCACUUAAAAACCUGCUAAAACAAUGCCUUCAUAUUUUAAAGCUUGACUCCAGUGAAAAUCAUUUUCACAGGAAAACAUAAAAUUUCAAAAGCAUUAGGCUUCGAGUGCUCCCCCUGUGAACUGCUAAAACAGUUUAGCACAUAAUUAUUCACAUUAAGCACCGAUAACAACUUCAUAAAUAAUAUCCAAAUAUGAAGAUCACUCAUAUGUAAUUCCUCAAAAUCCUUAGAGCACCUAAAAAUGUAUCUAAAAAGCAAAUAAGUACGAAACGCAGCGAAAAAUUAAAAUCGUGCGAUAAUCGUGCGAAUGGUUUUUAUGCCCAGAAUUGUUCAGAAACAAAGUCUGAUGUUUUUAAGCUGCAAAAUCCUUUAUAACUUUCACUUAACACUACGAAAAUUAUUAAAACCAACGCAAGUUUUACCGAGUUUCUUUGUUUAGUGAGUUUAAAACAUUGGAUUCGAGAUAUUCAAAUUAAUUUCCACUUAAAAACCUGCUAAAACAAUGCCUUCAUAUUUUAAAGCUUGACUCCAGUGAAAAUCAUUUUCACAGGAAAACAUAAAAUUUCAAAAGCAUUAGGCUUCGAGUGCUCCCCCUUGAACUGCUAAAACAGUUUAGCACAUAAUUAUUCACAUUAAGCACCGAUAACAACUUCAUAAAUAAUAUCCAAAUAUGAAGAUCACUCAUAUGUAAUUCCUCAAAAUCCUUAGAGCACCUAAAAAUGUAUCUAAAAAAGCAAAUAAGUACGAAACGCAGCGAAAAAUUAAAAUCGUGCGAUAAUCGUGCGAAUGGUUUUUUAUGCCCAGAAUUGUUCAGAAACAAAGUCUGAUGUUUUUAAGCUGCAAAAUCCUUUAUAACUUUCACUUAACACUACGAAAAUUAUUAAAACCAACGCAAGUUUACCGAGUUUCUUUGUUUGAGUGAGUUUAAAACAUUGGAUUCGAGAUAUUCAAAUUAAUUUCCACUUAAAAACCUGCUAAAACAAUGCCUUCAUAUUUUAAAGCUUGACUCCAGUGAAAAUCAUUUUCACAGGAAAACAUAAAAUUUCAAAAGCAUUAGGCUUCGAGUGCUCCCCCUGUGAACUGCUAAAACAGUUUAGCACAUAAUUAUUCACAUUAAGCACCGAUAACAACUUCAUAAAUAAUAUCCAAAUAUGAAGAUCACUCAUAUGUAAUUCCUCAAAAUCCUUAGAGCACCUAAAAAUGUAUCUAAAAAGCAAAUAAGUACGAAACGCAGCAAAAAUUAAAAUCGUGCGAUAAUCGUGCGAAUGGUUUUUAUGCCCAGAAUUGUUCAGAAACAAAGUCUGAUGUUUUUAAGCUGCAAAAUCCUUUAUAACUUUCACUUAACACUACGAAAAUUAUUAAAACCAACGCAAGUUUUACCAAGUUUCAUUGUUUGAGUGAGUUUAAAACAUUGGAUUCAAGAUAUUCAAAUUCAUUUCCAUUUAAAAACCAGCUAAAACAAUGCUUUCAUAUUUUAAAGCUUGACUCCAGUGAAAAUCAUUUUCAAAGGAAAACAUAAAAUUUCAAAAGCAUUAGGCUUCGAGUGCUCCCCUUAUAAACUGCUAAAACAAUUUAGCACACAAUUAUUCACAUUAAGCACCAAUAACAACUUCAUAAAUAAUAUCCAAAUAUGAAGAUCAUUCAUAUGUAAUUCCUCAAAAUCCUUAGAGCACCUAAAAAUGUAUCUAAAAGCAUAUAAGCAUGAAACACAGCGAAAAAUUAAAAUCGUGCAAUAAUUGUGCGAAUGGUUUUUAUGCCCAGAAUUGUUCAAAACCAAAAGUCUGAUGUUUUAAACUUCGAAAUCCUUUAUAACUUACACUUAACACCAUGAAAAACAACAAGAAAAUUAAAAUCACGCGAAAAUUGUUCGAAUAUUUUUUACGCCCAUAAUUGUUCAGAAGCAAAGUCUGAUGUUUUAAGUUCUAAAACCCUUUAUAACUUACACUAAACAUUACGAAAAAUUAAAACCAAUGCAAGUUUUACCAUGUUUCUUUGUUUGAGCAAGUUCAAAACAUUGGAUUCAAGAUAUUGAAAUUCAUUUCCAUUUCAAAACCUGCUAAAACAAUGCUUUCGUAUUUUAAAGCUUGACGCCGGUGAAAAUCAUUUUCAAAGCAAAACAUAAAAAUUUCAAAACCAUUAGGCUUCGAGUGCUCCCCCUAUAAACUGCUAAAACAAUUUAGCGCAUAAUUAAUCACAUCAAGCACCAAUAACAACUUCACAAAUAAUAUCCAAAUAUGAAGAUCAUUAAUACGUAAUUCCUCAACAUCCUUAGAGCACCUAAAAAUGUAUCUAAAAGCAAAUAAGCAUGAAUAACAACGAAAAAUAAAAAUCGUGCAAUAAUUGUGCGAAUGGCUUUUAAGCCCAUAAUUGUUCAGAAACAAAGUCUAAUGGUUUAAGCUCCAAAAUCCUUUAUAACAUACGCUUAACACUAUGAAAAAUUAAAACCAACGCAAGUUUUACCAAGUUUCUUUGUUUGAGUGAGUUUAAAACAUUGGAUUCAAGAUAUUCAAAUUCAUUUCCAUUUAAAAACCAGCUGAAACAAUGCUUUCAUAUUUUAAAGCUUGACUCCAGUGAAAAUAAUUUUCAAAGGAAAACAUAAAAUUCAAAAGCAUUAGGCUUCGAGUGCUCCCCCUAUAAACUGCUAAAACAAUUUAGCACACAAUUAUUCACAUUAAGCACCAAUAACAACUUCAUAGAUUAUCCAAAUAUGAAGAUCAUUCAUAUGUAAUUCCUCAAAAUCCUUAGAGCACCUAAAAAUGUAUCUAAAAGCAAAUAAGUAUGAAACACAGCGAAAAAUUAAAAUCGUGCGAUAAUUGUGCGAAUGGUUUUUAUGUCCAGAAUUGUUCAAAACCAAAGUCUGAUGUUUCAAACUUCGAAAUCCUUUAUAACUUACACUUAACACCAUGAAAAACAACAAGAAAAUUAAAAUCACGCGAAAAUUGUUCGAAUAUUUUUUA
rnacentral:lncRNA from 1 species